AUGUCUUGAAACAAUGAAUUUGAAAUAAGAGAAAAAGAAAAGAAGAAGAAAUAACGAAAGUUAGAUGAUUUUCUAGUCAAAUCUCUACAGAAUGAUUUCAAAACCACAAAUUGUUUUUGGGAAGUAGACAGUAAAGUCUUCAGCAGGGUGUCGCAAAGAUACCACAAAGAUGGUGUAGAUUCGCGCGACAAGCAUCGAUGCCAUGAGAGGGUUGCUUGUUUACAAGCGACAGUUGAUUUGACAAAGCCGUGGGUCCAUUUAUACGAGUGAAUAUUACAGGGCAAAGUCGAGGGGUGGCUUGUUAUCCGCUCAUUGAAGUUAACCACGGGGCUAAGUGCGCUGGGGAGUGCCGGUCGGUAGGAGCAAGGAGAACUAGUGACUAAAGGUUAGGUAUAUGUAUACCGACGGAGGGGAUAGCUUUGCAGUUUGUAGAGAGAAUCGGUGAAACUUCGUGAGAAACUGAGAGAGAAAAUUCAAACGGAGACAGAUACUAGCAUAGCGAAUAAGAAACAGAGAUGAAGCAACGAGGAAAGGAAAGAUAGACGAAAUACAACGAGUUGAAAAGAGAUAAAAAAGAAAAAGUGAAGUGAAAUAAAUCAAGAAAGAAAACAGAUAAUGAUGAAUGCGACUUAUUUGUGAUGUCCAUAUAUUUAAUAAAUGAUAUUUGUAAAAAUUGUUUAUAUAUUGAUGUUAAAAGAAUAUUCUGAAAUGAUUUAUGAUUACUAUGCCUAUUCUAUUGAUAAGCUUUGAAAUAAUAACCUUUGAAACGCUAAUGAAAUUAGUCCCAUCGCUAGAAGAGGGUGAUGGAACGAAAGAUGGAUAACAGCAGGGUGGCCUGGAAGAAGAUAGCGUAAGAGGUGAGGAGGGAAGAGAGUUGGUAGAACAUUGACGGGCCAAUGAGAGGCCAGAUCGUUGCCGAGGUAACCGCGGGGCUUUCCGACGGAUUAUUCGACCGAGAUUGAAAAGUUAGCACCGUGCAACGGGCGGGGGCUCGUCGACGGAGCCACUCCUGUUUCUCCAGAACGAGCGAUCUACUCGCGACAGGGCUAACACAACGGAUUAAGGCUUAUUUUCACGAUUGAGAAUGGAUUUAUAUUCAUAUUCCGUUUAUGAAACAGAAAUAAAUUUGUGGGAACGUUUCGGGCUAGCUGUCUCGAUACCUCGAGAGGUACGAAGGACGCUUCGUUACUCGUUACCUGAUGCUGACGCUCGUUGCAAUAGCAAGGGAACAAUAGCGAGAUGAGAAAUAAGAAGGAGACGGAAAGAGAUAGCCAAAACGAGGACUGCUAUUGUUUCCGGUAACUCUUUCGCGGUAACGAGGAGGAACCUCAAUUAGAAUGGUUUGAGGACUUAAACGCCCAGAGGCUGCCGGGUUUUAAGAGGUAGCGAACAUUGUUUCUUUUGAGCGAUAACUCGGUGAUACUUUUAGCUAUAUCGCGAAACAUCGUGCACCAACUUCUUUGGUGGAUAAUUACUAGGCACGCUUGAGGAAACUAUGGAAAACGCAAGAAUAAUAUCCACGUUGGUGAAUCGUUAUUAACAUGGCAUCCUGUUAUUCUAAGAGAUACGGAACAACCAGUCAUCUACAAAUUCAAAGUCCUGGAACGUGGAGAUCCGCACGAACACUCUUCUAAAGUUAUGAAAUCCUGGUGGUGCGAAUGCUUCUGGCGCCACACGGUUGAUGAGUGACAGGACAUUGACGAGUCUCAAGGGAUGUUACAUAUCUUCAAACGAGAAAGGAUUCUUCCGUUUGGUCGAUUAAGAAAAAGUUCCGUCUUACAUAGCGUCCUGAUCGACGAAAUAUUUACUAUUUGAAAGCUUGCGGAAGCUCGACAUUCGAUUCAAUCUUAAAGGGGAUUCAUUCGACCUCGAAAUACUUAUUCGCAUGAUAUCCUAAUGUGAUUGGAUAUUUGUAAGAUAUAAACGUAUAUCAUUGUUGAAUGCAAUAUACAUGUAUUUAUUUAUUUGAUUGAUAACGAAAAGGAUAAAUUUUAGAAUUUUAUUAUUGUUUAAAAUAAAUAUGUC